rnacentral:rRNA from 1 species
GCCCGCUCAGAAACUACAAAUGAAGUUGACGGGGCCCGGCACAAGCGGUGGAGUAUGUGGUUUAAUUCGAUGCAACGCGAAGAACUUACCUGGUCUUGACAUCCCGGAGACCCUUAGGAAACUAGGGGGUGCUUCCAUCUGGAAGAAUCUGGAGACAGGUGCUGCAUGGCUGUCGUCAGCUCGUGUCGUGAGAUGUUGGGUUAAGUCCCGCAACGAGCGCAACCCUUGCCUUUAGUUGCCAGCAGUUCGGCUGGGCACUCUAAAGGGACUGCCGGUGUUAAACCGGAGGAAGGUGGGGAUGACGUCAAGUCCUCAUGGCCUUUAUGACCAGGGCUACACACGUACUACAAUGGCCGAUACAAAGGGCAGCGACACUGCGAGGUGAAGCCAAUCCCGUAAAAUCGGUCUCAGUCCGGAUUGGAGUCUGCAACUCGACUCCAUGAAGUUGGAAUCGCUAGUAAUCGUGGAUCAGCAUGCCACGGUGAAUACGUUCCCGGGCCUU